rnacentral:rRNA from 1 species
UGAUUAGGUAGUUGGUAGGGUAACGGCCUACCAAGCCGACGAUCAGUAGGGGUUCUGAGAGGAUUACCCCCCACACUGGUACUGAGACACGGACCAGACUCCUACGGGAGGCAGCAGUGAGGAAUAUUGGUCAAUGGGCGAGAGCCUGAACCAGCCAUCCCGCGUGCAGGAUGACGGCCCUAUGGGUUGUAAACUGCUUUUCUGCGCCAAGAAACCUGUCAACGUGUUGACAGCUGACGGUAGCGUAGGAAUAAGCACCGGCUAUCUCCGUGCCAGCAGCCGCGGUAAUACGGAGGGUGCAAGCGUUAUCCGGAUUCAUUGGGUUUAAAGGGUGCGCAGGUUGGGGAGUAAGUCAGUGGUGAAAUACUGCCGCUUAACGGCAGAACUGCCAUUGAUACUGCUUUUCUUGAGUAUGGUUGAGGUAGGUGGAAUGUGUUGUGUAGCGGUGAAAUGCAUAGAUAUGACACAGAACGCCGAUUGCGAAGGCAACUUUA